AUUUAUUAAAAAAGAUACAAAAACCAGUAAAGAAUGAUGUUCAAUUAAUAAUGUAUAUAGCAGAUCCGCAGAACUCUCCACUGUACUUAAAAGACUUAUAUCAAACGGAAGACAAUGAAAUAGACAAAGAACAAUACCAAUCCGAAGAAAUUAUAAAAAGAAGGAUACGGCUGCGGAUUCGAAAGCUUAUCUAAUUAAAAUAUUCCCCAACAAAAUCGUAAGUUCUGGUAUAAGAAAAAAAAGAUUAAAAGACGCAAUUCCUUUAAGUACUAUGGGAAAAGAGGCAGAUCGAGCUUGGCGUGAAACAGUUGAUAUAUUUAAAGGUGUAUUCAACGUCUUUUACGGAGAAUUUAGAGAUUGUGUCAAUGAUAGUUUAAGAGAAUUCAGAAAAUAUGCCUAACAACCACUAGCAAUUAAAUUAGCUUUAAGACCAUUCGAAGAGGGAAUUUCCAGGCUAAGUUCCUCGAACACAAUAGAGAUGUCACUGUACGGAUUCUUCUUCGUUUAACCUCAUCACUAUCUUUUGACUGUGUUUUUGGUACACACAGGCACAAUUACAUCUUUCAUCUAUUAUUAUUUUGAUCAAAAUAAUAAAACAACAUAAUUCUAUUCAUAAUGUGAUCCAAAUAUCAACCAACAAUAUUUUUAUACGUGCUUUUUAUUACAUUUUAUUUUGGAAUAAUUAUGUACCAGAGUAAUAAGAAAAAAUUAUCAUGUUAAAGCUGUACUACGCCAGAUAUAUUGUUUUCGGUGAACGUAGCCUGGAAAGCCCUUAUGACGCUCCCCAAUGUCGUAUCGAGAUGAAAUCAAAAAUGAAUAUCCGAACAAAAAUAUUGAAGUAGUUUCAUAGUCAAAUUAUUAUGUGUAUAUCACUUCGUACAAUAUUUUUUUAUAAAUAUUUCUAUUUCCAUUUCUUAUACACACAUAUUUAUAUUAUAUUUGCAUUUUGAAUUAAGUAUCAUAUUGAAAAAUCUUGUCGUUUCUACAGUUAAAGGUACAUUGUCCGACCAGGUAUAGAACGCUGCCUACUGCUUUAAUCACAUAAAAAAUAAAUCCAUGGUAACAUCGUUUUAACGAAUACAUUUAAAAAAGAGUACAAACAUGAGCAAUAUAAU